rnacentral:snoRNA from 1 species
UACUCCUGUUUCUGCCCCAAGGCCUUUAUGCUCCAUAGGUUUCUGGGUUCUGGUUAUGGAGAAGAUUGAGCCCUGUGUAUGAUUCUCUAAGUCAAUCAUUCGCAUAUAAUUGAGAAAUCAUAUGCAGGGAUCGUGGGCGCCGUUAUGAGAAACCUGCCUGCAUGAUUAAUUGCUGGUGGCCGUGGUCGUGGCUCCCUACAUCU